rnacentral:rRNA from 1 species
GACGAACGCUGGCGGCGUGCUUAACACAUGCAAGUUGAGCGGUAAGGCCUUUCGGGGUACACGAGCGGCGAACGGGUGAGUAACACGUGGGUGAUCUGCCCUGCACUUCGGGAUAAGCCUGGGAAACUGGGUCUAAUACCGGAUAUGACCUCCUAUCGCAUGGUGGGUGGUGGAAAGAUUUAUCGGUGCAGGAUGGGCCCGCGGCCUAUCAGCUUGUUGGUGGGGUAAUGGCCUACCAAGGCGACGACGGGUAGCCGACCUGAGAGGGUGACCGGCCACACUGGGACUGAGACACGGCCCAGACUCCUACGGGAGGCAGCAGUGGGGAAUAUUGCACAAUGGGCGAAAGCCUGAUGCAGCGACGCCGCGUGAGGGAUGACGGCCUUCGGGUUGUAAACCUCUUUCAGCAGGGACGAAGCGCAAGUGACGGUACCUGCAGAAGAAGCACCGGCUAACUACGUG